GGCCCGGAUGUCUUGGGGCAGCAAAGGGGGAAGACCGGUGAAAGUCCGGCGCUGUGCCGCAACGGUAACCGGCCCGCGCAUCAAGCCCUUCGUCAUGGUCGGAAGCCCGAAUACCCGCC
rnacentral:ncRNA from 1 species